GAUGAACGCUGGCGGCGUGCCUAAUACAUGCAAGUCGAACGCUUCACUUCGGUGAAGAGUGGCGAACGGGUGAGUAAUACAUAAGUAACCUGGCAUCUACAGGGGGAUAACUGAUGGAAACGUCAGCUAAGACCGCAUAGGUGUAGAGAUCGCAUGAACUCUAUAUGAAAAGUGCUACGGGACUGGUAGAUGAUGGACUUAUGGCGCAUUAGCUGGUUGGUAGGGUAACGGCCUACCAAGGCGACGAUGCGUAGCCGACCUGAGAGGGUGACCGGCCACACUGGGACUGAGACACGGCCCAGACUCCUACGGGAGGCAGCAGUAGGGAAUUUUCGGCAAUGGGGGAAACCCUGACCGAGCAACGCCGCGUGAAGGAAGAAGUAAUUCGUUAUGUAAACUUCUGUCAUAGAGGAAGAACGGUGGAUAUAGGGAAUGAUAUCCAAAUGACGGUACUCUAUAAGAAAGCCACGGCUA
rnacentral:rRNA from 1 species